AUGGAAUCCUUAACCGUUCACUGUGUCAACAAAACGGCAGCAAUUUGAAUAGAAAAUUUGAAGAAGAUGAUAACCCCUCAAAAAUGGGAUUCGUAUACCCCUACGGAGCUUCGCUUUCUGUGCAAAAACCAUCAAUAGCGUUACUUUCAACUGGAUUAGUAUCUCUUCCGCUCAAUAGGCCGAUUUGCUCGUAUUAUGAAAAAAAUCUAAAAGGUGGGAAAAUCGUCGUUAUAGGAUCCUCACUUUUAUUCAAUGAUAAAUAUUAUUAUAGUGAAGAAAACGAAAAGCU